rnacentral:tRNA from 1 species
GGACCGUGGCUCAGUGGUAGAGCAUCUGCUUGGAGUGCAGGAAGUCCCAAGUUCAGGCCCUGGGAACUCCA